rnacentral:rRNA from 1 species
UACAGAGGUCCCAAGCGUUGUUCGGAUUCACUGGGCGUAAAGGGUGCGUAGGCGGUCAGAUAAGUCUGUCGUGAAAUACCGGAGCUCAACUCCGGAAUGGCGUCGGAAACUAUUUGGCUAGAGGAUUGGAGGGGGGACUGGAAUUCUCGGUGUAGCAGUGAAAUGCGUAGAUAUCGAGAGGAACACCCGUGGCGAAGGCGAGUCCCUGGACAAUUCCUGACGCUGAGGCACGAAAGCUAGGGGAGCAAACAGG